rnacentral:rRNA from 1 species
CAUUUAGAGGAAGUAAAAGUCGUAACAAGGUUUCCGUAGGUGAACCUGCGGAAGGAUCAUUAUUGAAUAAACCUGAUGUGGUUGUAGCUGGCCCUUUCGGGGGUAUGUGCACGCCCGUCAUCUUUAUCUUUCCACCUGUGCACUUUUUGUAGACCUGGAUGUAACACUUUCCGAGGCAACUCGGUCGGGAGGAAUGCUGUCGGCUUUCCUUGGAUGUCCAGGCCUAUGUUUUCACAUACCCCAAAGAAUGUAACAGAAUGUAUCAUUGGGCCUUGUGCCUAUAAACUAUAUACAACUUUCAGCAACGGAUCUCUUGGCUCUCGCAUCGAUGAAGAACGCAGCGAAAUGCGAUAAGUAAUGUGAAUUGCAGAAUUCAGUGAAUCAUCGAAUCUUUGAACGCACCUUGCGCUCCUUGGUAUUCCGAGGAGCAUGCCUGUUUGAGUGUCAUUAAAUUCUCAACCUUACCAGCUUUUGUUGGUAAUGGCUUGGAUGUGGGGGUCUUUUGCUGGCUUCGUGAAGAGGUCUGCUCCCCUUAAAUGCAUUAGCCGGUGCCCUGCGUGGAUCCGUCUAUUGGUGUGAUAAUUAUCUACGCCGUGGACGUCUGCUUUAAAUGGGAUGCACUGCUUCUAACCGUCCGUUCAGUUGGACAAUCAAUGACAAUUUGACCUCAAAUCAGGUAGGACUACCCGCUGAACUUAAGCAUAUCAAUAAGCG